rnacentral:rRNA from 1 species
GUCUACGGCCAUGCCACCCUGAACAAGCCCGAUCUCAUCUGAUCUCGGAAACUAAGCAGGGUCAGGCCUGGUUAGUACUUGGAUGGGAGACCACCUAGGAAGACCAGGUGCUGUAGGUG